rnacentral:rRNA from 1 species
GGUGAGUAAUGUCUGGGAAACUGCCUGAUGGAGGGGGAUAACUACUGGAAACGGUAGCUAAUACCGCAUAACGUCGCAAGACCAAAGAGGGGGACCUUCGGGCCUCUUGCCAUCGGAUGUGCCCAGAUGGGAUUAGCUAGUAGGUGGGGUAACGGCUCACCUAGGCGACGAUCCCUAGCUGGUCUGAGAGGAUGACCAGCCACACUGGAACUGAGACACGGUCCAGACUCCUACGGGAGGCAGCAGUGGGGAAUAUUGCACAAUGGGCGCAAGCCUGAUGCAGCCAUGCCGCGUGUAUGAAGAAGGCCUUCGGGUUGUAAAGUACUUUCAGCGGGGAGGAAGGGAGUAAAGUUAAUACCUUUGCUCAUUGACGUUACCCGCAGAAGAAGCACCGGCUAACUCCGUGCCAGCAGCCGCGGUAAUACGGAGGGUGCAAGCGUUAAUCGGAAUUACUGGGCGUAAAGCGCACGCAGGCGGUUUGUUAAGUCAGAUGUGAAAUCCCCGGGCUCAACCUGGGAACUGCAUCUGAUACUGGCAAGCUUGAGUCUCGUAGAGGGGGG